GGUGGCUCAUGGUAGAGUGCUUGCCUUGCAUGCAUGAGGCCUUGGGUUCGAUUCCUCAGCACCA
rnacentral:tRNA from 1 species